ensembl:rRNA 5S_rRNA 5S ribosomal RNA
AGCCACAACCGUUUCACCCUGCAGCCCAAGACUAGUUAUUCACUUAGGCUAAGCAGGGCUGAGCCUGGUCAGUACCUGGAUGGGAGACCACAUGGGAAAACUAGGUUGCUGUUGGAA